GAUGAACGCUGGCGGCGUGCCUAAUACAUGCAAGUCGAGCGAACGGACGAGAAGCUUGCUUCUCUGAUGUUAGCGGCGGACGGGUGAGUAACACGUGGAUAACCUACCUAUAAGACUGGGAUAACUUCGGGAAACCGGAGCUAAUACCGGAUGAUAUUUUGAACCGCAUGGUUCAAAAGUGAAAGACGGUCUUGCUGUCACUUAUAGAUGGAUCCGCGCUGCAUUAGCUAGUUGGUAAGGUAACGGCUUACCAAGGCAACGAUGCAUAGCCGACCUGAGAGGAUGACCGGCCACACUGGAACUAAGACACGGUCCAGACUCCUACGGGAGGCAGCAGUAGGAAAUCUUCCGCAAUGGGCGAAAGCCUGACGGAGCAACGCCGCGUGAGUGAUGAAGGUCUUCGGAUCGUAAAACUCUGUUAUUAGGGAAGAACAUAUGUGUAAGUAACUGUGCACAUCUUGACGGUACCUAAUCAGAAAGCCACGGCUAACUACGUG
rnacentral:rRNA from 1 species